rnacentral:lncRNA from 1 species
UUCUGUCCUCAUUCAUUCCAGGAGUAUUCACAGGGCCUUCGACCAGGGCAGACAUUCACUAGAACUGGCCGUCGCAGUGCAGGCUCGGCAGGCUCCCUAUGGGCAGGCGGCUGUGCCCACUUCACUGAUGGGGAGUUAAGGUGCAGGGUGAGAAAGUCCCCAGGACCAGGGCUCAAGGCCUGGACCCUCGAGGAUGGGGCUGUGUGUGCUGUGCCCUGCUGCAGCCACCGUGCAGGGAGCAGCACCUGUAGGUCUUCAGUGAGCACUUGCUGAUCGAAGGCUUGUCCAGGAUGGGCCGUCCCACUGCCAUGUGACCAUACCCCC